rnacentral:rRNA from 1 species
UACGUAGGGGGCAAGCGUUGUCCGGAAUUAUUGGGCGUAAAGAGCGCGUAGGCGGUCCGGUAAGUCGGCUGUGAAAGUCAAGGGCUCAACCCUUGAAAGCCGGCCGAUACUGUCGGACUAGAGUCCGGAAGAGGCGAGUGGAAUUCCCGGUGUAGCGGUGAAAUGCGCAGAUAUCGGGAGGAACACCAAUGGCGAAGGCAGGUCUCUGGGCCGAUACUGACGCUGAGGAGCGAAAGCGUGGGGAGCGAACAGG